UACGGGGGGGGGCAAGCGUUGUUCGGAAUUACUGGGCGUAAAGGGCGCGUAGGCGGAUAUUUAAGUUAGAGGUGAAAGCCCAGGGCUCAACCCUGGAAUAGCCUUUAAUACUGGAUAUCUUGAGUUCGGGAGAGGUGAGUGGAACUCCGAGUGUAGAGGUGAAAUUCGUAGAUAUUCGGAAGAACACCAGUGGCGAAGGCGACUCACUGGCCCGAUACUGACGCUGAGGCGCGAAAGCGUGGGGAGCAAACAGG
rnacentral:rRNA from 1 species